rnacentral:rRNA from 1 species
UACGGAGGGGGCUAGCGUUGUUCGGAAUUACUGGGCGUAAAGCGUACGUAGGCGGCUUUGUAAGUUAGAGGUGAAAGCCCAGGGCUCAACUCCGGAAUUGCCUUUAAGACUGCAUCGCUUGAAUCAUGGAGAGGUGAGUGGAAUUCCGAGUGUAGAGGUGAAAUUCGUAGAUAUUCGGAAGAACACCAGUGGCGAAGGCGACUCACUGGACAUGUAUUGACGCUGAGGUACGAAAGCGUGGGGAGCAAACAGG